UACGUAGGGUGCAGGCGUUAAUCGGAAUUACUGGGCGUAAAGCGUGCGCAGGCGGUUUCUUAAGUCAGAUGUGAAAGCCCCGGGCUUAACCUGGGAACUGCGUUUGAAACUGGGAGACUUGAGUGUGGCAGAGGGGGGUGGAAUUCCACGUGUAGCAGUGAAAUGCGUAGAUAUGUGGAGGAACACCAAUGGCGAAGGCAGCCCCCUGGGUCAACACUGACGCUCAUGCACGAAAGCGUGGGGAGCAAACAG
rnacentral:rRNA from 1 species